rnacentral:rRNA from 1 species
UACGUAGGGGCCGAGCGUUGUCCGGAAUCAUUGGGCGUAAAGCGCGCGUAGGUGGCUUCGUAAGUCCGUUGUGAAAGUCAAAGGCUCAACCCUUGAAAGCCGGUUGAUACUGUCGGGCUAGAGUCCGGAAGAGGCGAGUGGAAUUCCCGGUGUAGCGGUGAAAUGCGCAGAUAUCGGGAGGAACACCAAUGGCGAAGGCGGCUACCUGGACCGGUUCUGACGCUGAGGCGCGAAAGCGUAGGUAGUAAACAGG